GACAUAAAAUGAGUAGCCUAUUCUUGCGGCGAACGUGACGUCACUUUAACUAACUAAACGGCUACCAUUAUGGUAUGGGGGCAAACAAAGCGCUUGAAAAUGAAGAAAUGUGUUUUUGAUUGUUCAAUUAAUGUUAAUAGUCAUCCGAACUUGAUUUGUUAUAUUUUGCUUCCUGAUCCAAAGAGAAGAAAAUCGUGGCUUUAUGCUUUAUAUAAAACUGAUUCAUCUUGCAAAAACAAACUUUGGUCGCAAAACAUGUCUAAGUAUGCUCAAAACAUUUUGUAUCUGAAUAUUAUGUACAAAUAAGUCAUUGCAAUAAAUCUCAAGUUAUUAAAGUCAGUGAACAAAUAAGUACUGACAAUUCGUUGACUGAAGUGGAAGAUGUUAGUGUCUUGAACCAACAUGAAACAACAAGUUAACUUAGCUGAGAAUGAUGGUAGUUUAAAAAUAAUGCAGCAUUGGCUAGGAUUGUUCCUAGGUCACAAAAACAAUCUUACAAAUAGAGUUUCUGCUGUUGUUACUGGUUUUAGAGAGUACCUUUGUGAAUGAAGAUAAAAAGUUAUUUAUGUUAUUUUUUAAAAGCCAAGACAUAAUAUUGUUAAUCCUCAUACCAUUUACUAAAAAGCUU